UUCCUGGUAGUCCAGUGGCUAAGAUGUUGCGCUCCCAGUGCAGGGGGCCCUGGUUCAAAUCCUGGUCAGAGAA
rnacentral:tRNA from 1 species